rnacentral:lncRNA from 1 species
GUUUCUUUACAUACGACUCAUUCUAGCUCCUUUUAAAUCCAUUCCACAGGAAGUAUGAGUCAAUUUUGUUGUACCAUGAUCAUGGCGCUUGUUUUAGUCUAUUAAUGUCUAGCAUGUAGCAACAACAGCUUCAGCCUAGAAAUAUUUUGGUACACCUUGAGCUUGCAUCAUGCUUCCUACUCAUUUCAAUGACUGUUAGAUACUUUCGUUCUGCAACACAUAAUUGUAUUAGUAUUGGUGGGGUGUGCAUACACAGUAAAACAUAAAACUUUAAUUAUAAAUCCAACUUAAUGUAAAAAAAUUGUUUUAGUAUUGGUGGGGUGCGCCAAGCCCGUGCAGUAGUGCAACGCAUGAGCGACGCACAAGAGCCCAGGUAGCAAGCUACCUUCAUGGAUUCUACCCCUUAAAAAAUUGAGUUAAUAUCGUGUGAAUCAAUGAUCCACAUAUCAGAUAUUAAACUGAUAAGAACAGAUACUACACUUGAUCUUAGCCAAAAGGCCGAGAAAGGUAUGCUUAAUUCGUUGUAAAUGAGUGGCUUUUGUGACAAAAAGUAGCGCUCAAGUCCUGUUUCGAUACCGAUGUGGGAAAACUAACACAUGGACAUCUAACUUGAACUAAAAAUUAUGAGAUGCACUUACAUGAUAAAUGAAAUGUUAAAAAAAAGAAAUAAAACUUCAAACACUACUCUUUGUUAAUAUUUGCUCACGUUUCAUGCAAAUUCUAAUCUAGCUCUUCCUUUUCUUAAGUGAUUUUUUUUAAUGCUUAAAAAUACUUAUGAUAGGCAUUUGGAUAAACAAGUUGUGAAUACUCAAUUUUGUAACCUCCAGCUAAUAUACUCCUUCCUUUUCAUGUUAGUUGUCAACUUUUUUAUUUUCACACUUCCUUUUGAUAUCAUAUUAGAGAACGAAUUGAAAUGAAUGCAAAACUAAAAGCAAAACAUGAGUCAAAGACUAAUCUUUGAUUGGAACUUUUCUAGAUGAAGCAUAAGCUUACUGGUUCCUUCUUCGUAUGGUUCUUCAUGAUUUUGCCCCGUAUUCAUAGAGAACCUCCUUUAGCUUUUACCUCUCCGUCCAUUUUUAUUUGUCAUGUUUCUCUUUUCGAAAGUUAAUUAGACUAUUUUUCAAUGUUUACGCUAAUUCGAUAUUUUAAACAAAAAUUUUUGAUACUCAAAAACUAUAUGAAAAGUACAUUAAAUUGCAAUUUUUGCCAUGUCAAUAUGAUGAAAAAUUACAUGUUAGUCAAAGUUCUUACAAUUUGACUCUAGAAAUAAAAAUCAUGACAAACAAUAGGAAGGAAGCAUAGCGGAGUUCAUUUGCUAGAAUAUGAGUGGGGGAUUAGCUUUUCUCAUCAAACCUUUAACUUUUAUAACUCUGAUAAGUUUGAUUACUCAAGGCAAUUUACAUUUUAUUCUUUAUGAUGCUUGAGAUGUUUAGUCCUUGCAACCAGAAGAUCUGCUAAAAUUAAAAUUUUCAACCAUAUGUGAUAAAUAUUUAAGACCACAAUUCUUAAAAACCGUACUAGUCAAAGGCCCUAAAAUUUGUACCAGAAUUGGUGGGGUGCGCCAGGCCCAAGCAGUAGUGCAACGCAUGGGCGACGCUCAAGAGCCCAGGUAGCAAGCUACCUUAAUGGACUCUUCCCCUUAAAAAAUUGAGUUAAUAUCGUGUGGAUCGAUGAUCCACAUAUCAGAUAUUAAACUGAUAAGAACAGAUACUACACUUGAUCUUAGCCAAAAGGCCGAGAAAGGUAU